AGGUUGAUGCUGUCAGGAGGGAGUUCCAGUCGCUAGUCCCCACUGCACGAGACCAUAAAGAAGCAAGUUGCAGCCAUGUAUAUAUGGCCUAAAACACUAGGAAGUCCCGAUAAUGGAUCCCGCGAAAGCUAUGAAGAAGCCUGUUGGCAUUCUGGAAGUGAAUGUUGUCCAGGCAAUGAAAUUGAAGAAGAAAGAUCUUUUGGGCAAGUCGGAUCCAUAUGUAAAGCUAACUUUUCAAGAUGAUAAUCUGCCAGCAAAGAAGACCACUGUGAAACGUAGCAAUCUUAAUCCUGAGUAGAAUGAGGAAUUCCAGUUGGUUAUCAAGGAUCCAGAAACUCAAGUUCUUGAACUACGUGUCUUUGAUUGGGAGCAGCAAUUUGGGAGUAAAAGCAGGGAGAAAGGCAGAAAGCAUAGACUAGUGACCUGCGAUAGUGUAUGGGCAUGACUCCGGCCUUCCAAAUGGCUGGGAGCGUUGCAGAUCCCACCGGCAUCGGUCCCUUAUCCCGAUCUGCGUGCCGGUCUCUUGUCCCGGCAUGUGUGCCGACUUUAAGUCUGCUUGUGUGCUGAUUUCGUGUCCCGGCCUACGUGCCGCUAAGCACCUCUCGGCCUGUGCGCCGAUCUGAUGUCCCGGCCUGCGUACUGACAUCUUAUCCCGGUCUGCGUGCCGGUGCCUUAUCUCGGUCUGCGUGCUGGUAUUAUAUCCUGACCUACAGCUCGUCCUCCGUAUCCGUGCUUCGUUCAGCUCCUCGUCGUCAGAUCCAGCUCUCCAUCCUGAUCGGGCGUCGUCUACUCUUCCGGGUCGCGAUAACUCAAUCCGCGUCCCAUCCGAGGGCGCCCCCCGGGCUAGGGUAUGUUUUUCGUUCAUAUUCCAUACGCAUUUCAUUAUUUUAUGACUUAGUUUUGUACUCAUAUAUUCGUUGGAUCUGCCUCGAGCAUCGGGGUACCGGGGGCUGGGUCAACCCGGUUGCUGGCUGCAGGACGUCACGAUUCGGUCAACAUCUCAUCCAUCUCACCCGACGGUCCGUCUAACUCAGCUUCCGGACCGAAUCAUUUUCCAUUAAUUUUUUUAUAACUCACUCUACAAUUAUGUUGAUUAUCUUUGACUGUGUGAUUGAAAAGCACCAUAAAUACUAUAACCUAUCUUCUCAACGCUUGAAAAAAAAAGAAGUUUUAAUUUUUUA